UGAGAGAGAGAUAAUGAGAGAGAGAAGGAGAGAGAGAAGGAGAGAGAAUGAGAGAGAGAGAAUGUGAGAGAGAUAAUGUGAGAGAGAUAAUGUGAGAGAGAUAAUGUGAGAGAGAGAAUGUGAGAGAGAGAAGGAGAGAGAAUGAGAGAGAGAGAAUGAGAGAGAGAGAAUGAGAGAGAUAAUGUGAGAGAGAAUGUGAGAGAGAGAGAGAUAAUGAGAGAGAGAAUGUGUGAGAGAGAAUGAGAGAGAGAAUGUGAGAGAGAAGGAGAGAGAAUGAGAGAGAGAGAAUGUGAGAGAGAAUGAGAGAGAUAAUGUGAGAGAGAAUGUGAGAGAGAAUGAGAGAGAUAAUGUGAGAGAGAAUGUGAGAGAAAGAAUGAGAGAGAGAGAAUGUGAGAGAGAGAAUGUGAGAGAGAAGGAGAGAGAAUGAGAGAGAGAGAUAAUGUGAGAGCGAUAAUGUGAGAGAGAAUGAGAGAGAGAUAAUGUGAGAGAGAAUGUGAGAGAGAAGGAGAGAGAAUGAGAGAGAGAGAUAAUGUGAGAGAGAAUGUGAGAGAGAAGGAGAGAGAAUGAGAGAGAGAUAAUGUGAGAGAGAGAAUGUGAGAGAGAUAAUGUGAGAGAGAAUGUGAGAGAGAAGGAGAGAGAAUGAGAGAGAGAUAAUGUGAGAGAGAAUGUGAGAGAGAAGGAGAGAGAAUGAGAGAGAGAUAAUGUGAGAGAGAAUGAGAGAGAGAGAGAAUGAGAGAGAGAGAGAAUGUGAGAGAGAGAAUGAGAGAGAGAGAGGUCUGAGAUUUCCCCUGAUUAUAUGACUGUCUAUUGUUCUGCACAAAAGCUGAAUGAAAACUUCCCGUUAUCUGAUAAAGAUCAGAAUGGUUCAUUAUUCACCAUGUUUUCACAAUACACACACACACACACACACACACACACACACACACACACACCGAGCAGUUUAAAUAAUUAACAUCCAGACGGAGAAAAUGUCCAUUAAUAAUGAAUGGCUCCAAAUGGAGAGAGGAUGUGAUUUAGACGUGUGUGUGUGUGUGUGUGUGUGUGUGUGUGUGUGUAUUUUAAAAUGUAUCAAUUUGGAUUUAAUUAUCUUUACAAUCUUUCAUGCUAUAAAGCUCAAUUCAGGAUAAUGUUCCUAGCUGUAGAACUGUCACUUCCUCGACAUCAGCAUCGUUCACAUACGCAGUAAACAACAUCAUCAACAACAACAACAACAACAACAACAACAACAUGCUGACACACUGGAACACUCGGACGUCACGGAGCUGUGUGAACGUAUCGGAUUGCAGUAGCAGCCUGGGUGUGAGCUGUGGGCCUUCUGUCCCCUUACUCAACACACACACACACACACACACACACACACAAAAUACACCAGUGUCUGCGCUUCCUUACUGUAUCACAGAGCUGUUCAGUAAGAUUUGUUCAGUAGAGUUGUUUAGACACACAUUCAAAAAAUUUUUUCUUACUAAUACAUCCGACAUAAAUGAUGAAAUCGUCCGUCAAAUCUAAAGAAGUACGUAGCGUUAACUUAAAGUUUUGUCCUUUAACUUGUUAAAUUAGCUAGAUAGUUCAGUAUUGUAAAUUAGCUAGCUAGUUAUAUUUUGUCAUUUCAUUUGUCACAUUAGGUCGCUAGUUAAGAUUUGUAAGUUAGCUUGUUAAAUUAGGCAGCUAGUUAAGUCUUCUAAAUUAGUUCUCUAGUUAUGUUUCAUCAUUUAGUUUGUUAAAAUAGUUAGCUAGUUACACUAUGUAACACUAGCUGCGUUUACACCGACAACAAUAAUCCACUCUUAAUCCGAUUAAGACCAUACUCUAAUUAAGGAACUACCAUGUAAACAGCCAUUUUUACUUACCUUAAUCUAAUUAAGGUCAUACUCGAAGUAAGCUCUAAUCGAAUUAAGACGUGUGGAGUAUUCCUGUUUUAGUCGCAUUAUGGACGUGUAUUACAGACAUGUAAACACCUUAAUCACAUUAUGAGCGUCGUGUGGGAGUUUUCACCGCAUUUUGCGACAGGACACGAUCACACACGGCAGUUUUACGGCAAUCAAGAGACUUCGGCUGCGUCCCAAAUCGCAUACUUUCCUACUAUAGGCCUGUAGUGGGGAAAAAUACAUGUAUCUCGGCUACUACAUAGACGGUAAGUACGCGAUUUGGGACACACCCACCGCUUCAAGCAGUUGUCUAUUAGCACGUACAGCAUGACUAAUAAUUAACCGCACUUAAAGCGUCCGUAAAAAAAUAAUAAUAAAAACACCCAAAACUGUAUACGGUACCAUAACGAAGACCAACGUGAAAUUCUGGAGGGACGUCGGACGGCGUGGCGCGGUGAUGUUCCUUUUCACGAGAUGAACCUCUAUGAAAGUGAUGGAGAAAGAAAGGAUCUGCUCAUGAUCCAGAACAUACCAGCUCAUCUGUGAAACAUGGUGGAGGUAGCGUCAUGGCUCGGGCUCGCACGGCUGCUUCUGGAACAUUCUCACUGAUCUUUAUUGAUGAUGAACUCAUGAUGGUAGCAGCAGAAUGAAUUCAGAAGUUUGCAGAUUUACAGAGAAAUGCAUCCGACCGAAUCAGGAGGAACUUCAUCAUGCAGCAAGACAACGACCCAAAACACACUUCCACCUGGGACUUCAUCAGGGGGGAAAGGGAUAUGCGACCAAAUAUUUAGUGUUAUUAUGCGAUCUUAAAUAGUAACGGUGAGUUUAAUGUCAGCAGUUUGACUUCAGAUCAUUAAACGAUACCACCAAUUAGAUGAAGAAAAAAAAAAACGCUCGAUGGAAGUGUGCUGUACUGGAACACUGGUCUCCAGCAGCUCUUUUCUCACUGCUCGGUAAGAGAGCGGGCUGAUAUUUACAGCGAUUCAGUACACACGCUGCAGCAGAGGACUGUAACACAAUAAGGGACAGAGAUCAGCUGGAGCUUGCUAUGGCAUUUCAAACACACACACCCACACACACACACACACAAAGAUCUGACCCGUAAAAACCAAGCUGUUUACGUUGAAAUGCUAUAUAAAGAAAGAACUUUAAAAGGUCAGAUUUUCCCACUUCUCGUGACAGCAUGUUGUCAAUGUACACAUGUACUAUUGAAACUGAGGUUUGUUUGUUUGUUUGUUUAACCCUUUGUAGGACUCAUCAAUGGUCCUAAAUAAAACCCUAGAACAGCAGGAGUGAACUACACGCACCUGAUUUGAACAGGGAUCCCAGAUAAUCCCCUUAAGCAGCUGUGUAACCCAACUCUGAAUACGAAGCACAAAUAUUGGCAUAACUUUUGGACCCUACGUUUGUUUCAGUAGCAGCAUUUGUAGGUAAACAGAUCGAUAAAAACAACUUUGAAUUGUAUUAUCAUUGGACUCUAGUAUAAAUAGUGUCCGCAGAAAGCACAUGCUGAGGAAGAAAGUGAUUCGGCUUCAGGAUUUUGUGCUGAGAUGUUUAUGGAUAGCAGAUUAGGUUAAGAUUACGUGCUAAACUACUGAUUAUGAUGUCUAGCUCCUGAGCAAAACUCGUGACGCAAACAUGUCAAGGUUGAGCGACUAUGUUUAGGGAAAACUGUGACAUUUGUGAUAUGAUGAUGUUUAAAUAAAUGACCAGCUCGUUGUUUAGCCAUCCUGGCUCCAGUUAGAGACCAGCACACACACACACACACACACACGCACACACACAUUGGUAUUCAUGACGCUUGUCCUCACUGGUGCAGUGAGCAUUAAACAGGACUACGUCUGUCGCGUGCUGCUUCAUUCCAGCCGCAGUGAAGGAGAUAAAGGCGACUAAUUCUGGCUGGAGGGAACAAACACUGAUAAUAAUACCGACGCUCUCACACACCCUGAUCUGUCCUGCGUCUCCUACCUACUUUAUCCACACGUCUUUCUGUCCCCAAUCCUCAUCCUGCUUUCUGUCGCUCUCGCUCUCGCUCUCGCUAUCUGAUGCGGGACUGCAGAGUAACACACACACUGUAGACAGAACCACACAAACCCGCCAUCGUGGAGCUAGCGUAGUCAUCCACGCAAAACAAAAUGCACUCUGUGCACAAUUUCAUUGCUUAUAGACGUGUUUAAAAACGUCAAACCGGUCUAA